rnacentral:rRNA from 1 species
UGGGGAAUGAUUGCACAAUGGGCGAAAGCCUGAUGCAGCAACGCCGCGUGAGUGAUGAAGGCCUUCGGGUUGUAAAGCUCUGUCUUUUGGGACGAUAAUGACGGUACCAAAGGAGGAAGCCACGGCUAACUACGUGCCAGCAGCCGCGGUAAUACGUAGGUGGCAAGCGUUGUCCGGAUUUACUGGGCGUAAAGGAUGCGUAGGCGGAUUUUUAAGUGAGAUGUGAAAACCCUAGCUUAACUUGGGACUGCAUUUCAUACUGGAAAUCUAGAGUGCGGGAGAGGAGAAUGGAAUUCCUAGUGUAGCGGUGAAAUGCGUAGAGAUUAGGAAGAACACCAGUGGCGAAGGCGAUUCUCUGGACCGUAACUGACGCUGAGGCAUGAAAGCGUGGGUAGCAAACAGGAUUAGAUACCCUGGUAGUCCACGCCGUAAACGAUGAGUACUAGGUGUAGGAGGUAUCGACCCCUUCUGUGCCGCAGUUAACACAAUAAGUACUCCGCCUGGGAAGUACGAUCGCAAGAUUAAAACUCAAAGGAAUUGACGGGGGUCAUAGCUG